rnacentral:rRNA from 1 species
AGGAAUAUUGGUCAAUGGGCGAGAGCCUGAACCAGCCAAGUAGCGUGCAGGACGACGGCCCUAUGGGUUGUAAACUGCUUUUAUAAGGGAAUAAAGUGAGUCUCGUGAGACUUUUUGCAUGUACCUUAUGAAUAAGGACCGGCUAAUUCCGUGCCAGCAGCCGCGGUAAUACGGAAGGUCCGGGCGUUAUCCGGAUUUAUUGGGUUUAAAGGGAGCGUAGGCCGGAGAUUAAGCGUGUUGUGAAAUGUAGACGCUCAACGUCUGCACUGCAGCGCGAACUGGUUUCCUUGAGUACGCACAAAGUGGGCGGAAUUCGUGGUGUAGCGGUGAAAUGCUUAGAUAUCACGAAGAACUCCGAUUGCGAAGGCAGCUCACUGGAGCGCAACUGACGCUGAAGCUCGAAAGUGCGGGUAUCGAACAGGAUUAGAUACCCUGGUAGUCCGCACGGUAAACGAUGGAUGCCCGCUGUUGGCCUGAAUAGGUCAGCGGCCAAGCGAAAGCAUUAAGCAUCCCACCUGGGGAGUACGCCGGCAACGGUGAAACUCAAAGGAAUUGACGGGGGCCCGCACAAGCGGAGGAACAUGUGGUUUAAUUCGAUGAUACGCGAGGAACCUUACCCGGGCUUGAAUUGCAGAGGAAGGAUUUGGAGACAAUGACGCCCUUCGGGGCCUCUGUGAAGGUGCUGCAUGGUUGUCGUCAGCUCGUGCCGUGAGGUGUCGGCUUAAGUGCCAUAACGAGCGCAACCCCUCUCCUUAGUUGCCAUCAGGUCAUGCUGGGCACUCUGGGGACACUGCCACCGUAAGGUGUGAGGAAGGUGGGGAUGACGUCAAAUCAGCACGGCCCUUACGUCCGGGGCUACACACGUGUUACAAUGGCAGGUACAGAGAGACGGUCCCUUGCAAAAGGGAUCAAAUCCUCAAAGCCUGUCUCAGUUCGGACUGGGGUCUGCAACCCGACCCCACGAAGCUGGAUUCGCUAGUAAUCGCGCAUCAGCCAUGGCGCGGUGAAUACGUUCCCG